rnacentral:rRNA from 1 species
GCCAGCAGCCAUAUCACCCUGCAACUCACCAGCUCAGCAGGUGUGAGCCUGGUCAGUACCUGGAUGGGAGACCUCCUGGGAAAAACUAAGGUUGCUGCUGGAA